GGGGCAAUAGCUCAGAUGGAAGAGCGCAGCGUUCGCAACGCUGAGGUCGGGGGUUCGAUCCCCCCUUGCUCCACCA
rnacentral:tRNA from 1 species